GCCACUGCUGGUAUCUUCAUAGCCUCCUGCACACUUCCCGCUGCUGCUUUGCCAACAAAAUUGCCACCUGUUCCAGCACAACCAGUUGCACCAAGGCUGUCAUAGCGUCUGAUGCCAGCUGCCUUCAGUAGUGAUGUUGCCAAUGCUGUUCUGUCCUCACAGGGGCCUCUCACCUUUUUUCAUUUUAGCAGAAAGACCCAAGUCAAAAUCACCAUGAAAACCAACCUAGAACAUACUUGUUCCCUGGGGACUCACGUAGCUCUAGUAGCGUACUUUGUAUUUUCCUGAUCUGGGAACUGAGAAUUCAGAGGAUCUUGACAUCUUAGAUUUUCCAUAAUCCUCUUAGUGGGCCAUGUCCUGCUUCCUCACCAGUCUGAGGAAAAUUGAACACGUUUCUCACUUCUGAGACAUGGCUGUUUUUUGCUCAGAUCAAGGAAAUACGAACUACUGGAGCUCCAUGUUCAAUAAAUUAAAGACGUUAGAAGUGUCUA